CAACAAAGAAUGAGUAACGCAAAAGAUUACAAUCUAUAGUUCCAGAGUUUAGUAAUUGGAGAAGGAACAAAAUUAAGGGGUCAGAAUCGCUUAUGGAGUGAUAUUCAAUCAAAACAUAUUUAUUGUCAUUAUAGUUAUCGUAUAUGGUAUCAUUAGACAUAUUUUCAUAGGUAUAAGAAGAAUGAUUAAAUAUCACAGUUCGCGCUUUUGCGCCUAAAUAUUAUUGAUUGAAAUUUAACAGGAUAAGGAUGUUCGACUCGUUGCUAAAACCAUGCCGUCGACCGCCAUAAAACACACUUCCUUUUCCUGUCUUAACGGAAGUGAUUGACUGUGUCUUAGAUAAAAACAAUAUCAAGAAGUUACAUAUUGAACUUACCGAUCUCUUAUCAUUUAUAAUACGGUGUAUUAGAAAACUAUCAUUAUGUAUAUUCAAUAAAGGUGUUGAAAUAAGAAAAUAAGUUUAAUAAGGAAUAAGCUACGAACCUGCAACGAUAGUUACGAUGCUUGCGUGAAGUUCUGAAGAGCGGAGGGGGGCAGAAGAGAUGGGACCGCGUGGCCUCACACUGUUUGGCUGGGCUUCAAGGCCGCCACCGAUGUUCGCUUCCGGAGUUAAUCACUACCAGAUAUAUCCUCCUGGAGUGCACUACUUCAGCCAGAUUCAAACAGUAACUUCAAAGUGGACAUCACCGCGAUCUGCUUUUGAUCACCAAUCAUUUACAUCAAUACUUUAUUUUUGAGAAUAUAUGGACGUAUAAAAGACGCAGAACAUUCAGAACGGACACAACUACUUGACUGCUCGCUCGCCUUAAACGUACAUCUACAAAUGCAUACGAUGCAUAGCAAUGGCUGGACACACCCACAGAUCACACGUCCCUGCGGGUCGGCGCUAGUCGCCGGAGAGUUCACUCUAGUUGUGUAUGUACAACUAAUGUUUUGGCGAUCACUGGCAGAGUUUCUGUAGAUAAGAACUUGCCUCGCCUCGUAGUUAGUGUACCUAUACGUCGCAGGCGGCAGGAACUCGUGCUCCGGUGAUAACUAAAUGUGUAAACUUUUUAUAGCAGUAAUCUUGAUUACAAAAUACGAAACUAGGCUGUGCUUUUAUCGACAAUAACUUGUCUUCUGCCCAAAACAAUAUGGUCCAAAAUACUAAUUGACUUUGAUAAAAUUAAAAAUAAUAACAAAAUAAAUAUUUAUUCUUAAAUAUCCCUAAUAGUGAUGACUUGAUAAACUCACUAUCAGGACGGUGACCUCUAAGCCGGCUGUAACAAGUUGCCUUCUUAAUCUCGUAUUCACUCUAGCCAUAGUACCAGGAGCCUAGCGACUCUCUUUUAACAGUUUUUAUUUUCAUACAGCCUACUCCAUUUUGUUCCAGAGUAGAUCUGACUAGAUCACUAGUUUAUGUAUUCGGUUUCUUAGAGCUAAUAAUAAAUGUUGGGAUUUUUAAUAGGAAAGUAAGCAAUAUAAUCUUAAUCACUUAGAACUUACUGACUUGUUUUUAAUUCUGCUGAGCCGGCCGCGCGCAAGCGGGAGAGGGUCGCACCCGUGUCAUAUCAAACUUACUUUGUAUUCAUUCCCCUAUUUGUUUGCUUUACAAUAAUUAACUUCUUAAACAUUGCUAGUUAAAAAUCACACGAAUGCUCAGUGAGGUGUUCGCACGGAAUGUAAUGAACGCGUGAAAGUGCUCGGAGUGUCGGAAGCCUGGCCGCGCUCAGGAUGCGCUGUGCUUCCAAGUUUGUGGGUACCUCCCUCCCCCUACCCUCUCACACUACUUGUCAUGACGGUCAUACCACACUCAAUACAGUUAUCGUGUUUAACGAUGUCGUGGAAACUCGUCGCAACCUCUCAGAGAAGUAAGACAUUCAAUUAUUCAGGUGUGUCGAGGGGAGCGAAGACUAUUUUUAUAUCAUAGAAACAUGUACCAGCCUACUUACCUAACGAAGGAAGAAAGUAAUUCUGAAACUGCGAAAUAGACGAAUUUGGAAUCCCUUUAUCAGCAGAUUGUGUCCACUUGUUAUAAGAUAGGGAUAUUCGAAAGAUAAGGGCGGCUCGGGCUCCGUGUGGGGCCGGCAGCGGCACCAGCGCCGCGUAUCGCGCGCUCAUCACUUGCUUCACAGAAUUUUACAAUUAAGGUAGUUAAUCUAACAUGAGAAAUCCUUUUGAUUCAAUACUUUCGAACCGAGAGCCGCGCCUGGCUACAAGUCCCAGUAAGGUCAUCACUUUUAAUUUCUGCGCUAGAUUUUAAUGGUUUGUUAAUGGUAAAUGCUUAUGAUCAAAAAGAAUUAAUAUGGAACAAAAGUCGUUAAGAAUGCUUACUAACUUCUUGUAGAUGAGGUAUUCGUUUUAGUUAUACACGAUUCUCGUCACAAGAGUAUGCUGUUUAAGUAAGCUGGCAAUAAAACAUACGUAACGCGAUCCAGUGCCUAACAAACAAGUAUGAGAAUGCGGUGCGGGGCGAGGGGCGCGGGGCGCGGGGCGGGCGCUGAGCCGAGCGGGCCAUGCCGCGAUUGUAAUGUAAUUAUGUCUGUUAUGCCGGCCGAUGAUGGAAAACGUUUCACCUAAUUCUGGGGACCCUUUUCACGAAAUCUGUUUAAAUUCUAAUCAAAAUUUUACAAACUCGUGAUGGCUCGAGAAAUAGCCUUUAUCAAAAGGCAUUAACGUUCAAAUAUUGGGAGCAUGGAGCUAUGUUAUUGUGCCAGCUAUAUCAUGCCUGCACUGGAUUCUAUUAGUCACGGAGCGCAACACAGCUGCGAUCCUUUAUUUUCAAGAUGUUACUAACGUAAAAUUUAGCAAAGAACACUUUAUUUUCCUGAAGUGAUUUUGUCAGAAAAGUUAUUCCUUUAUUUGUAUGCCGGUAUGUGGUGCGCGAGGUGCGACGCUCAACUCUUAGCAGUUUAGUCAAGCGCCGGUCGAAGCAGAUCCUUUUAUGUUUCAUUUAUGAUUCAGGGCGCGGCGCAACCUUCCCGCACUAAUGUCGAGCCCCCCCCCCCGCCUCGAGCCGGCCUCGGCUGCGCCCCCUUCUCGCCCGCACGUGUCACCCACGUUACUGACCUCCGCGGGAGCUCUUUUUAUACCACAGAUUAAGUUGUUAAGGGCCGCGGCUUCAACUUGUCUCGUCAUCAUACUUACCGGAAGGUCACAAUAUUUACACAUUAUUACGCUAAAUUUUUACCUCAUAACGAUGACAUAAAUUUAUUAAUUUGAGUAAGCCCAACAAUCCUUGGCCUUUGCGUGUAUGGAAAAUACUAUUGGCGUAUUGUAAAGAACAGUCUCCGAAUGUACUCAUACUAACAGUUACA